AGAUUUUGGUUGAUCGCGGGUGACUGGUAGGUGGUAGAGGGGUGGUUCUAGCGUGGUUAGGUAGGGGAAUGGUUGUAGUUUGUGUGGUAGGAAUAGUAGUUGUGGUGGUGGAGCAGAAAGUAGAAAAAAAAGCAAAAAUGUGAGAGAAUUGGAUGGAGGAGUUGAAAAAAUUUAGGGUGGUUUGGGAAAAAUGUUGGUACCUUUUGGUUGAUUGUGGGUGACUGGUAGGUGGUAGAGGGAUGGUUCUAGCGUGGUUAGGUAGGGGAAUGGUUGUAGUUUGUGUGGUAGGAAUGGUGGUUGUGGUGGUGGAGCAGAAAGUAGAAAAAAAAGCAAAAAGGUGAGAGGUAUUGGAUGGUGACGUUGAAAAAAUUUAGGGAGGUUCGGGUAAAAAUGUUGGUAGAUUUUGGUUGAUUGCGGGUGACUGGUAGGUGGUAGAGGGGUGCGAAUAGUGUGGUUAGGUAGGGGAAUGGUUGUAGUUUGUGUGGUAGGAAGGGUGAUUGUGGUGGUGGAGCAGAAAGUAGAAAAAAAAGCAAAAAUGUGAGAGGUAUUGGAUGGUGACGUUGAAAAAAUUUAGGGAGGUUCGGGUAAAAAUGUUGGUAGAUUUUGGUUGAUUGCGGGUGACUGGUAGGUGGUAGAGGGGUGGGGAUAGCGUGGUUAGGUAGGGGAAUGGUUGUAGUUUGUGUGGUAGGAAUGGUGGUUGUGGUGGUGCAGCAGAAAGUAGAAAAAAAAGCAAAAAUAUGAAGUAUUUGAUGAAGUUGAAAAAAUAUUGGAGGUUCAGGUAAAAAUGUUGGUAGAUUUUGGUUGAUUCCGGGUGACUGGUAGGUGGUAGAGGGGUGGGGUUAGCGUGGUUAGGUAGGGGAAUGGUUGUAGUUUGUGUGGUAGGAAAGGUGGUUAUGGUGGUGGAGCAGAAAGUAGAAAAAAAAGCAAAAAUGUGAGAGGUAUUGGAUGGUGACGUUGAAAAAAUUUAGGGAGGUUCGGGUAAAAAUGUUGGUAGAUUUUGGUUGAUUGCAGGGAACUGGUUGGUGGUAGAGGGAUGGUUCUAGCGUGGUUAGGUAGGGGAAUGGUUGUAGUUUGUGUGGUAGGAAUAGUAGUUGUGGUGGUGGAGCAGAAAGUAGAAAAAAAAGCAAAAAGGUGAGAGGUAUUGGAUGGAGAAGUUGAAAAAAUUUAGGGAGGUUCGGGUAAAAAUGUUGGUAGAUUUUGGUUGAUUGCGGGUGACUGGUAGGUGGUAGAGGGGUGGGGUUAGCGUGGUUAGGUAGGGGAAUGGUUGUAGUUUGUGUGGUAGGAAAGGUGGUGGUGGUGGUGGAGGGGAACACAGAAAAAAAAGCAAAAUUGUGAGAGGCAUCUGGUGAAAAAAAGUUGAAAGAUGCAAUAUUUACCAUCAAUUAAGGAUACAAUGAUCUCCUUGCUC